ACUGCGGGACGACGCGGUACUGUGGGAUGAGAGGGGAUGACGCACGGCCGGAAUGGGAGGAGCUUGGCGAGGGGCCAGGUAGCAUCCCAGGUGGGAACGCCAAGACCAGGGCCGCCCCCCGAGCCGCUGCAGCCUGGGACCAGGUCCCGCUGUGUCGGGCCACUCUGCCCGGUGUCUCCCCCGGUUACCAGGACGCCUUCCGGAUCUCGACCUUUUGACCCAACACGGAAAAGGGGCCUUGGGUUCGCAAAGGCAUUCUCCGAAGGAUCAGCUUCAGGGGAGGGAGAGACUUCACUGGCCUCUUCCAAAGCGUAAUCCAAGAGAGAAGAAGUUGGUCAAUGUGUAUGCAAAGAUCAGUGAACAGGAGCAGUUCCAGCACAGUCAGAAAUGAGGAUAGACUUCGCUUAUCCUGACUCCCUCCUCAGGGUUGACCCUACCCCAGGAGCUCAAGCUCUGAACAUCCUCAGGACUGAUGGCUAGAAAUGUGUUAAGAAAUGAAUUAAACCUCGGGCUGCAGUGAAAAGUCAGAAAUAAUAAUGGAUAGCAAAGCUGAAAAGUUCUGUUAGAAAUGUUAUGGAAAGAAAUAUUCAGUGACUGUAGAGGAAUGCAGCGCUUCUGCAUAGUAGUAAGUUUUGAUUACAUUUAAGGUAUUCUGCUUUAUUUUACUUUUCUUCUGCCUUCUCUAUCGUUUCCUCUCCUUAUUGUCAUCUGGAAAAUUCUGAAGGCUGGUGACAGGGCAUUAUCAUGGGCAUCUCAUUGUGUUUUUUUGGCUUGUUAAUCUGUGUGAUUUUACUUUAAAAAUAACGAACUUUUUGUAUUCCCUAGUUAUCUUAGUACCUCAGUUACGCUUUAGUUAGUACCUUAGUUUGAUUCAAGUUCCAAUGAGAUAGUCAGCAGCCUCUAAUUGUUGCUUCUACCUUGAGAAGUAAUCAAUCUUAUUUUAAGAUGUCAAAAGCCUUUUUACUGAGAUAAGUUUAUUUAUGAAAUGAUUUAAUUUUCCCAGAGAAUUUCAAAGGUUUUGUGUGUGAAAUUAUGACUUGGACUUUUAGAACUGAUUUUGGUCUUUCAUUUUCCUGUUUUACAGAUUUUUCACUGAAAUUGUUCCUCCUCAUUCCUUUCCAGCCCAUUAUUUCCUCUUCUACCUGUUCAACUCUUUAUUCCUUAUGUACUUUUAUUCUCUUUCUUGAGGAUUCUUUAAGUGCUGAAAUAUUUUUAAAAAUUAUAUUUAGUGGGAAAGCUUUUUGUGAGAUGAAAAUUUUGCAAUUUACUUCCCUUAAAAUAAUUAGAUAUAGUUUUAACUUGUAUAUUUAUGAUUCUGUUUUUGUUUGUUGUCUUUUGGGGGAAAUAGCUUUUCACAGAAAUGAUAAGAUAUACUUCAGUACUUGGGAAAAGUUGUCAGUUUUUCUCUGUGAUAUAAAUGAAAGUAACAUACUACCAUUCCCACUAUCAAAUAAAGAUAAUUUUAAAAAGAUAGUUCCCGUAUAUUUAAGAUUUUUAAGAUUUAAGAAUAUUAACCUAUGUUAGGAAUAGCAAGUAUAUCUGAGUUUAUGUGCUAAUUCUGAUCAAUUAGUAGCAACUCAUUGGAGAUGAGAAAAAUUUUAGGUUUCAUGAGGACUGAGCAGAAAAGAUAACUGUGGUCAAUUACUGAUGUCUGUCAUAGGCAAAGACGUGAGCAGAGGUAGAACACCUCAGAGGUGGAAAAUAUCAUAUGUUUUCUAUUCCUGACCUAAAGUAAUGUAGAAUAAUGAGGACAAGGAAAGAUUUUGAACUGAGAGUUUUGUGGCCUUGCCCAGCUGAAGACAAAAAGCAGGACAGUGAAAAGUAUUCACUUACUAGCUUUCAGAGUGGAGAACAUAUAAAAAAAACUUAAUUAUAAGACUUGAGUAUCCUGCCAAAAUACUAAGCAUUAUAUUUUUUUAGAUUAAGGACACGGCUUCUGUGAAUGUUCUUCCUACUGAAAAUAUCAGAAUUAGUUCUCUUAGAGAGUAUCAAAUUUUCCAUACUGGAUAGAAAUACUGCUUGUCUUUGUAGGGAACACAAACUCAGUUACCUUCAGGGGCUCAGCACUUCUCAUGAAUUGUGAAUCUGUCAGUUAUAGAGGAUGGUGGGGACAUUGGCCAUUUGAGAAGUGCACACCCUAUCUAGAAGCUCUCAAAUUUAAAAUUUAAGAUAAUGCUAUGCUGAGGAGUGAUGUCAGCAUCAUGGCAGAGUGAG